rfam:TPA: Bos taurus chromosome 26, whole genome shotgun sequence.
UCCCUGAUGGUCCAGUGGUUAAGACUCUGUGCUCCCAAUGCAGGAGGCGUGGGUUCAUUUCCUGGUUAGGGAA